CCUGCUGCUUAAGUGCUUAUCA
rnacentral:miRNA from 12 species